GCACUGCGCGCGAGCCAAUGGUCGUCCUCCGGAACACCAAAGGCGCAAAAAACAUAACUUGAGUUGUGCGGGAUUACGGGCGCGGCUCUCUGCAGCGUCCCUCCAUCCCCGGGUGUUGUAACCGGCAUGCGGUGUGGUCCCUCGGGGCCGUCACCGUGCCACAACAUACCGUGAGUGUGCAGGAUGUGACCCGAAAGAUGGUGAACUAUGCCUGAUCAGGUUGAAGUCAGGGGAAACCCUGAUGGAGGACCGAAGCAGUUCUGACGUGCAAAUCGAUUGUCAGAAUUGGGCAUAGGGGCGAAAGACCAAUCGAACCAUCUAGUAGCUGGUUCCUUCCGAA
rnacentral:rRNA from 1 species